AGGGAGUUUGAUCCUGGCUCAACCGGGGAGCUGCCGUUGAUACUGGCGGACUAGGGUCCAAACGGCGCCGGCGGAAUAUGUAAUGUAGCGGUGAAAUGCAUAGAUAUUACAUAGAACACCGAUCGCGAAGGCAGCUGGCGAGGAUGGCACUGACGCUGAGGCACGAAGGCGUGGGGAUCGAACAGGAUUAGAUACCCUGGUAGUCCAGAAUUCGGCUUAGAGUUUGAUCCUGGCUCAGGAUGAACGCUAGCGGCAGGCUUAACACAUGCAAGUCGAGGGGCAGCGGGUGUAGCAAUACAUGCCGGCGACCGGCGCAAGGGUGCGUAACGCGUGAGCAAUCUGCCCGUAUCAGGGGGAUAAGCGAUGGAAACGUCGUCUAAUACCGCAUAACACCAAUGAUGGCAUCAUCGAUGGUUGAAAGCUUCGGUGGAUACGGAUGAGCUCGCGAGACAUUAUUUAGUUGGCGGGGUAACGGCCCACCAAGACCGCGAUGUCUAGGGGAACUGAGAGGUUGUUCCCCCACACUGGAACUGAGACACGGUCCAGACUCCUACGGGAGGCGGCAGUGAGGAAUAUUGGACAAUGGCCGGAAGGCUGAUCCAGCCAUGCCGCGUGAAGGAAUAAGGUCCUAUGGAUUGUAAACUUCUUUUGUACGAGAGCAAUAAGUGUCACGAGUGACACGAUGAGAGUAUCGUACGAAUAAGCAUCGGCUAACUCCGUGCCAGCAGCCGCGGUAAUACGGAGGAUGCGAGCGUUAUCCGGAUUUAUUGGGUUUAAAGGGUGCGUAGGCGGGAUUUUAAGUCAGCGGUGAAACGCAAGGGCUCAACCCUUGACCUGCCGUUGAAACUGGAGUUCUUGAAUGCGGAUGCUGUGGGAGGAAUGUGUGGUGUAGCGGUGAAAUGCAUAGAUAUCACACAGAACACCGAUUGCGAAGGCAUCUCACAAAUCCGUGAUUGACGCUGAGGCACGAAAGUGUGGGGAUCAAACAGGAUUAGAUACCCUGGUAGUCCCCU
rnacentral:rRNA from 1 species